ensembl:lncRNA
CAUGGCUUCUCACUGGCUGUGUCCUUGCCAGCAGAGGAGUCCUGUCUUCUCCCUGUUGGGCUCUGCUAUCUUCUCAGGCCGUGAGAGCUCCCCCAUUCUGGUCCCCCAAGUCUGUUUAGUUGAGGCUUCUGUUAAUUUUUUGCACACCCAUUCAUUUAUCAUUUCAAUGUCACUUCAGAUGACGUUUGAGGAUGUAAAGCACUGUGAUCAUAAGACUCUAAGUAGGGAAGUUCUCUGACAGUGUCACUCGCGUAGGAGAGGAAGCUCUGUCUGAAAUCGUUCGAGUCUGGACAUUGUGAUUAGUGCCCAAAGAAAAUCUGUGCAUUUGACUGCUACAGUGGGGAUGCUUUGAGUCACCCCCAGAGGAUGAGCCAUUGUGAAGUGAGUCAUUGUGAAGAUUCUUUUCCUUUCGAGGUUGUUUCAAGAUAUUGAGCAUAGUUCCCUGUGCUAAACAGAUAUUUGCUCAGCCACACUUUUCCUAUAAACCCAUCACACCGAACUUUGGGUUUCA